rnacentral:rRNA from 1 species
GAUGAACGCUGGCGGCGUGCCUAAUACAUGCAAGUCGAGCGAACAGACGAGGAGCUUGCUCCUCUGACGUUAGCGGCGGACGGGUGAGUAACACGUGGAUAACCUACCUAUAAGACUGGGAUAACUUCGGGAAACCGGAGCUAAUACCGGAUAAUAUAUUGAACCGCAUGGUUCAAUAGUGAAAGACGGUUUUGCUGUCACUUAUAGAUGGAUCCGCGCCGCAUUAGCUAGUUGGUAAGGUAACGGCUUACCAAGGCAACGAUGCGUAGCCGACCUGAGAGGGUGAUCGGCCACACUGGAACUGAGACACGGUCCAGACUCCUACGGGAGGCAGCAGUAGGGAAUCUUCCGCAAUGGGCGAAAGCCUGACGGAGCAACGCCGCGUGAGUGAUGAAGGUCUUCGGAUCGUAAAACUCUGUUAUUAGGGAAGAACAAAUGAGUAAGUAACUAUGCACGUCUUGACGGUACCUAAGCAGAAAGCCACGGCUAACUACGU